rnacentral:misc_RNA from 1 species
UUUAUCUUCAAGCACGGCUUGUGUUGAGUAUUCUGGUUCUUCCAGAGGCUUGAAAUGCAGUGGCGAUGCCGAGAUUUGGGUGCUCGAGCGUAUGGGGCUUUGUCGCACGCUCUGGUGGCUCCCGGCUUGCAUUCUGUCCCAACUUUUAUAUGAUUUUUUGUCU